GAUGAACGCUGGCGGCGUGCCUAAUACAUGCAAGUCGAGCGAACGGACGAGAAGCUUGCUUCUCUGAUGUUAGCGGCGCACGGGUGAGUAACACGUGGAUAACCUACCUAUAAUACUGGGAUAACUUCGGGAAACCGGCGCUAAUACCGUAUAAUCUCUUGAACCGCAGGGUUCAAUAGUGAAAGACGGUCUUUCUGGCACUUAUCGAUGGAUCCGCGCUGCAUUAGCUAGUUGGUAAGGUAACGGCUUACCAAGGCAACGAUGCAUAGCCGACGUGAGAGGGUGGUAGGCCACCCUGGAACUGAGACGCGGUCCAGACUCCUACGGGAGGCAGCAGUAGGCAAUCUUCCGCAGUGGGCGAAAGCAUGACGCAGCGACCCCGCGUGAGUGAUGAAGGCCUUCCGAUCGUAAAACUCUGUUAUUAGGGAAGAACAUAUGUGUAAGUAACUGUGCACAUCGUGACGGUACCUAAUCAGAAAGCCACGGCUAACUACGUG
rnacentral:rRNA from 1 species